GACGAACGCUGGCGGCGUGCUUAACACAUGCAAGUCGAACGAAGUGGCGAAUGGGUGAGUAAUAUGUGGGUAACCCGCCCUCCUUUUUGGGAUAAGCCUUGGAAACGGGGUCUAAUACCGAAUAAAGGGGGAUGGGCUCGGGGCCUAUCAGCUUGUUGGUGGGGUGACGGCCUGCCAAGGCGGUGACGGGUGGCCGGCCUGAGAGGGUGACCGGGAACAGUGAGACUGAGAUACGGCCCAGACUCGUACGGGGGGGAGCAGUGGGGGAUAGUGCACAAUGGGCGAAAGCCUGAUGCAGCGACGCCGCGUGAGGGAUGAAGGCUUUCGAGUUGUAAACGUCUUUCGCUAGGGAACGGGUAGGUGGAGAAGAAGCGCCGGCUAACUACGUGCCAGUAGCCGCGGUAAUAC
rnacentral:rRNA from 1 species